UAUGAUCUAAAAGCGUUUUGUUUAUUGACAAGCAACCCCUCUCUCGCUCGAUCUUCACAACUCCCCCCCCCCCCCAACCCUUCCCCCGUCAGCGAGGCGAAGAGUGAGAGGCAGGCGCCCGUGGAGUAGUCCUAGCGAAGCGUGAAACCUACGAAAGAGGAAUCGGCUCACAGCGCCAUCGUCCAGACAACCAGAGAAAACACAGCCCUUUAGUGAUCUCCCACUUAAACUAACCUGACAAAAUGCUGCUACAUGUUGCAUCACUUAGAUUAACUGACAAGAUUUCAUCAUGAAUAUUCCUCAGAGAAGGACGGGCUACUAAUUCCAGUGAUCGACCAUUGCAGGAGUAAGACCCGAUCAAUAAUCCAAAGUGUUUAAAAGUAAUAAUAAUUCUUGCAUCAAAUGAUUUCUGACAAACAUCUCUCAACAUUUGACAUUUCUCGGCGAACUGGAUGGUUUCCGUGCUGGUUGUUUUGGCUUUUUUUUUGCAAAACAAAAGGAUCUUUUAUACUUGAAACACGAACUUUUUGCCAAAAAGGGAAAGAAAAAAGGCAACUGAUGAAGCGCCAGAGGGUUUAUGGGUUUCGAAAGUGUCAGAAUAUCAGAAAUUGAGAUGAUUUUCUCCAUUGACUGCAAUUGCCUUCCUUUGUACUGGAGGGAAAAAAAAGACCAAGACAAAGAGCCAAGUGAUUCUGUUGAAAUCCAAACCAAUUAUAAGUAGUCCCCGAGGAUCAAAGAUGAAAUUCAAACAGCAUGAAAAAACACAACCAACGUUGUUGAAGAAAUCAACAAAUAUGGCCAAGGACCAACUGCAGACCAAAGAGGAGGGCAGCUAAGCACACCAAGGGCAGUACUAAGUAUGUGUCUGCUGAAGCUACCGCACAAGACUAUAUACAUGUUGAAGACCAGAAGCAACAUCCCACAACAAACAGAUAUUCUCCAAGCUCUUCAGUUCUUCCUCUUUCAAGCAUGAAUGGAAAUUUAAUGACUAACAGGAGGAGAAAAUUCCUGUUCAAUACCAUGACAUUCCAAUACUUACAAGCAAAACUAAGUUUGCUUUGAUCCCUACAAUGCAAUGCUGCAGUAGGUAGAAGAUUUCAUCAAGAACAUACAAUGAACACUCCCUUGCCCAGAGUCAAUAGGAGAUAUGUUCACAGAACAUUUCUUCUCCCUUGAAACAAAUUAGGAAACACAAACAUUAGUAAAAUUGUACUAACAGUUGGAAGAUAUCAAUUAACACAACUGUGCCAUGGCCAUCCCUUUAAUUGGGAUUGUUAGGUGAAAGUGGAUAGUGCAAAAUAUCUAUCCUUAAUUUAAAAAGGUGGCAUUGACCUCUGAGAUCAUGAUUUGCCUCCUCUCAACCCAAUCAAUAUUCAUUGCAUGCGUGCGGAGACAAAUGCCAAUAUUGCAAUGUCAAGAUACACCUCACAGUGGCCUCAUGGAUGCCUUUCUGGAGAUCUAAAGACAUCCAUAAUGUCUGGUUUUUUGUUAGGUCUAGAAAAAGCCAGUAACUUUAAAAAUAGGCUGGGUAUGCUUGCUUUGUAUUCAGUACAUGCAGACUGCAACAAGAGAAAUAAGAGAAACUAUUUUGUGACUAAAUAAGAUUUCGCAGAUAUCCCCCAUAUUAUGGUUGUUCAGAUUAUGAAAAUUUGCCCUUACAGUAUCCACAAAUCACCAGUUAAAACUUUGAGAUUCUGAAUAAAAUUUGCAGAAUUUAUCUGAUAAAGGUAAAUGAAUUAAAAGAAAAUAUAUU